rnacentral:rRNA from 1 species
AGAGUUUGAUCAUGGCUCAGGAUGAACGCUAGCUACAGGCUUAACACAUGCAAGUCGAGGGGCAGCAUGUUGGUUGCUUGCAACCAAUGAUGGCGACCGGCGCACGGGUGAGUAACGCGUAUCCAACCUACCCUUGUCCAUCGGAUAACCCGUCGAAAGGCGGCCUAACACGAUAUGCGGUUCACAGCAGGCAUCUAAGGUGACGAAAUGUGAAGAGAAGGAUGGGGAUGCGUCUGAUUAGCUUGUUGGCGGGGUAACGGCCACAAGGCUACGAUCAGUAGGGGUUCUGAGAGGAAGGUCCCCCCANAUUGGAACUGAGACACGGGUCCAAACUCCUACGGGAGGCA